CAGGCACACAGUCUCCCCGUGCCCCUGCAAGUGCCAGCUGCAGGCUGGUGCYGAGUGCAAGUCCAAGACUGUACAGAUCAGCCUGGGGGUUGCUUCCAUAUUUUCUUUUGCUUUCAAUCCCGAGGUCUGGGCUUUGGCUACGUUUCUAUCCUAGACUCUGCCUGCUAACCACAUCACCCUUAACUUGUGACAAACCUGCAUGUCAYCUUUUUUUUUUCUAGAGCAGUACUGCAGUUCUUUGAAAAAAUGAAGACCUCUACAAGUACUUGUAACGACGUGCUCCAUGAACGAGUUUGUUCUCAGUCACCGCUCGGCUCAUGCGUAGGGAGCUCUUGUGACUAUGAAAGACAGACUCCUCUGAGAUCAUAGUUCUCUGCCAUUUACUAGGAUGACAGUGUAUCUAUGGAAGGAAGUCUCCUAAAUAAGACCAGAGAUGUUACUCCAUUCCAUUCCCGUUGCCUGGAAUCCCCAUGAACAUUAUGGAGGAAGAAGUGUCUCCGGCAAACCAGCAAUAUGUCCACUUCUGGAUUCAGAUGGAACAACUGAAAACUAUCAUCCCUGGCUGAAAAUUACUACACACACAAUUUUCUCUGCAUCAUGGAAAGUAUGAUAGCUCCCUGGGCCACCWCAGUACAAAGUCAGCCAGGAUAGCUCAAACACCCUUCAUCGAUUAAAGCUAAGGSAACCAAGUUUGCACUAAAGAAUGUCC
rnacentral:lncRNA from 1 species